ACAUGCAAGUCGAGCGGGGAGGUUACCUUUCGGGGUAACUUCUAGCGGCGGACGGGUGAGUAACGCGUGAGCAACCUCUCUCUCAGUGGGGGAAUAACACAGGGAAACUUGUACUAAUACCGCAUGGGACCACGACCCGGCAUCGGGUUGAGGUGAAAGAUUUAUCGCUGAGAGGUGGGCUCGCGUCUGAUUAGAUAGUUGGUGGGGUAACGGCCUACCAAGUCGACGAUCAGUAGCCGACCUGAGAGGGUGAUCGGCCACAUUGGGACUGAGACACGGCCCAGACUCCUACGGGAGGCAGCAGUGGGGAAUAUUGCACAAUGGGGGAAACCCUGAUGCAGCAACGCCGCGUGAAGGAAGACGGUCUUCGGAUUGUAAACUUUUGUUCUUAGUGAAGAAAAAUGACGGUAGCUAAGGAGAAAGCCACGGCUAACUACGUG
rnacentral:rRNA from 1 species